rnacentral:rRNA from 1 species
UACGGAGGAUGCGAGCGUUAUCCGGAUUUAUUGGGUUUAAAGGGUGCGUAGGCGGUCCGUUAAGUCAGCGGUAAAAUUGCGGGGCUCAACCCCGUCGAGCCGUUGAAACUGGCAGACUUGAGUUGGCGAGAAGUACGCGGAAUGCGCGGUGUAGCGGUGAAAUGCAUAGAUAUCGCGCAGAACUCCGAUUGCGAAGGCAGCGUACCGGCGCCCAACUGACGCUGAAGCACGAAGGCGUGGGUAUCGAACAGG